AAAGCUCGUUAAGACUAGAUGGUGUAUCCCUACAUAGCGGGUGGGACCCACGGCGAAUGGUUCAUCAAGUCUUCAAAAAAGAAUAUAUACGAUUGCAUUGCAUAUACUAACGGAUGCGAUCAUGCCAGCACUAAUGCACCGGAUCCCAUCAGAACUCCGCAGUCAAGCGUGCUUGGGCGAGAGUAGUACUAGGAUGGGUGACUUCCCGGGAAGUCCUCGUGUUGCAUCCCUCUUUUAUGUUUAACC
rnacentral:rRNA from 1 species